rnacentral:rRNA from 1 species
AGAAGUCCACUGAACCUUAUCAUUUAGAGGAAGGAGAAGUCGUAACAAGGUUUCCGUAGGUGAACCUGCGGAAGGAUCAUUGUCGAAAACUGCCGAGCAGAGCGACCAGCGGACAAGCAGCAAUAAAUCGUUGGGGGCGCGGUGCCCCCGAUCGCCGGCCGAGCCCGCACCUCACGGUUCGCCCCAUGAGCGACGGUCGGGGUGCAGGGUCAGGCUUUCGGCACAACAACGAACCCCGGCGCGGACUGCGCCAAGGAACGGUAACAUGGUGCGCGUCGCCUUUCUUCGGGAUCCCCGGGGAGUGAGGCGGCGGGCUUCGUAUCUGAAAGACUCUCGGCAACGGAUAUCUCGGCUCUCGCAUCGAUGAAGAACGUAGCGAAAUGCGAUACUUGGUGUGAAUUGCAGAAUCCCGUGAACCAUCGAGUCUUUGAACGCAAGUUGCGCCCGAAGCCUCUAGGCUGAGGGCACGUCUGCCUGGGCGUCACGCAUUGCGUCGUCCCCGACCCACUGUGUCUCCUCACAUCAGGUCGGGGCGGAAGUGGCCUCCCGUGCAUCGUCGUGCGGUUGGCCUAAUACCGGAGCUCGGGCGACGGUGCCGCGGCGUUCGGUGGUCGACAAGGCGAAGGCCAAGGUUGCAUCGCGUCGCGCCGGGCACGUCCCCCGUGAAGCUCGCAUGACCCUGACGCGCCGUUCGUACGGCUCCAACGCAGCGACCCCAGGUCAGGCGGGGCUACCCGCUGAGUUUAAGCAUAUCAAUAAGCGGAGGAAAAGAAACUUACGAGGAUUCCCCUAGUAACGGCGAGCGAACCGGGAAGUGCCCAGCUUUAGAAUCGGGCGGCCGAGCCGUCCGAAUUGUAGUCUGGAGAAGCGAA